rnacentral:rRNA from 1 species
GACGAACGCUGGCGGCGUGCCUAACACAUGCAAGUCGAACGGAAAGGCCCUGCUUUUGUGGGGUGCUCGAGUGGCGAACGGGUGAGUAACACGUGAGUAACCUGCCCUUGACUUUGGGAUAACUUCAGGAAACUGGGGCUAAUACCGGAUAGGAGCUCCUGCUGCAUGGUGGGGGUUGGAAAGUUUCGGCGGUUGGGGAUGGACUCGCGGCUUAUCAGCUUGUUGGUGGGGUAGUGGCUUACCAAGGCUUUGACGGGUAGCCGGCCUGAGAGGGUGACCGGCCACAUUGGGACUGAGAUACGGCCCAGACUCCUACGGGAGGCAGCAGUGGGGAAUAUUGCACUAUGGGCGGAAGCCUGAUGCAGCAACGCCGCGUGCGGGAUGACGGCCUUCGGGUUGUAAACCGCUUUCGCCUGUGACGAAGCGUGAGUGACGGUAAUGGGUAAAGAAGCACCGGCUAACUACGUG